CGGGUGGGUUAUGUAAAAACCUUCGGUCAGUGGGGGAACAUCCGAGCAUAGCUCGGGAAAAGUUAUGUAAGGAAGUGCAAUUAGGGAGGAUGGCGGGACCAUUCGCUUCCCCGCCGUUGGCUGGUUUGCGGGUGUCUCCACUUGGGGUAGUCCCCAAGAAGGAGGCGGGUAAAUUUCGUAUGAUCCAUCAUUUAUCGUACCCACAAGGUACAUCGGUUAAUGAUGAUAUCGACGAGGCCCUGUGUUCUGUUUCCUACACAUCAUUUGACAAGGCUGUCGAG